UGCACGCAGGACCCCGCCCCGCCCGCUCAGCAGGAGCGAGGGUGACCCAGGCUUCCUCUCUGGCCUCCUCCUCUUCCUGCUUCUGCUCAGGUACUACCCUCCCAUGCCCGGUAGCCUUGAGGCGAAUUUGUCCCCGCCUCCUCGGCUUCAGUUCCUUUCUCAAAGUCCAAAGGACCUUGGUGACAACCAGCUCCUCCUCACUUCGCUGUCCCGGUGUGCCUGUUUAGAAGCUCCUGGAGAAGCUGAGCCUGUCAUACCUCCCCCACCUCGGCUGGUCAUCGGCAUCGAUGAGAAGUCCCUGGAGCUUCAUCUACCUUCCUCCCUUCUCAGUUUCCACUGAAGAAUAAAGCAAAUGCUCUCCACCUCCGAGCAAGAGCAGCUGAGGCAGGACCUCAUCACAGCUCUGCCUAUGGGAAAGAACUAUGAAAAAUGCUACUUGACAAGUUGAGCCUAAGGAACAAAUUAUUUUAUUUACAACUCAAUUCUCCAACAUUUGGUUUAACUGACUUCAUGGUUGGAACAGUCGAUACUGACUUUCUGAAAAUGAGUCACUCCCAGAUGGGAAGAGUUACGAUGGUUCAGACACCAGCAGCAGAGAUGAGAUGAGGAAAGCAAGGAGACCUUGGUGACCAAUCUCUACCACUGGUCACGACGUCCCAGGAUGACAUUUUGGUUCUGGGGGGAAAAAAGUACUAACCAGAUAAGAGCUCUGUCUUCUUCACGUGGCUGAAUGGGAGGAGUCAGGGAAAUUCAGGCAGCUAAAUCUGCUUGCUACAUGAGAGAAAUGGCAGAUUGAGAGGUGAGUUUUAAAAUAAAUCCUGUGGGGGCUGGCAAGACAGUUUAGGAGGUCAAGGCACUUGGCACCAGGCCUGAUAAUUAGAGUUUGAUCCCCAGCCCCACAUGAUGGAGAGAGAGAACUGAUCCCUGCAAGUUGUCCUCCGAUCUCCUUAUGUGUACUGUGACAUGUGUGCCAUACAAAAUAAAUAAAUAUAUGUAUAAUUUAAAAAAUUUUAAAAUAGA